CCGAUGGGGCCAGAGGUUUGCUUUCUUUGUCCACUGGAGGGCAGCAGAAAGCACAAACCUGCCUUCCAGAGCUUUGCACCCAGGCUAACGCCCAACACAGGCCUCCCAAGCGGCAGGAGAAAGGCUAAGAAAGGAAGGACAUUCUGACAGGUGCCACAAGAUGGAUGAACCUUAAGGACAUUGUGCUAACUGAAACAAGCCAGUCACAAAAAGACAAAUACUGAUUGCAGCAGGAGAGGACUACAGAUAGCAUGGGAUUGGAGGAAGAACUCUGGCCCUGGAGACAGUAUCAUCAAGCAGUAGCUUCAUCUUUGCGAGCUGGGGCCUCGACAGAAGCUUUCUUCUCCUCUAUACAGGCUGAGCCUGUCUCAACCCGACCCCCCACCUGCACCCCAGUCCUUUGGGGUCACCUUAAGGCUUUGGCUGAUGCUUCUUUGCUGAUGUCAACCAAGGUGAUGGACCUGUUUGUCCUCAUAAAGUAACUCUCGAACGGGCAUGCACUUCUUCCUCCCUCCUCUUGCUUUGAAGGCUGGGUGGACACCUGCCACCAUGGGCAGGGUGAGAGCCAGCCCCAUACCUGCGAGGUCAGAAAGCAACUGUCCCUGGCCUGUGGGUGUCUCUCAGAGGGGCCAGGCCUUCCUCACCACGUGUCCCCAGCACCUAGCCUGGGACCUGGCCCAGGGGCACGCUCAGUAAACGCUGGCUGAGAAUUAAGGGGGACUUUCCAGUUCCUAUCCAACUCUUUCAUUUUCUUUCUUUUUCUUUUUUUGAGACAGAUUCUUAGUCUGUCAUCCAGGCUGGGGUGCAGUGGCGUGAUCUUGACUCACUACAACAUCCGCCUCCUUCCUGAGUGGGUCGUGAUCCUCAUGUUGCUCAUAGCAAAAGAGGCCGAGAAUUAGAGUGAUCAAACCAUCCUGGUUUACCAUGUCUGAGGAGUUUAUUGAAAUACAGAGUUUUCAGUGCUGAAAACAAGAGUCCCAGGACAAUUCCCAAUGGUUAGUCACCCUACAGAACAACCGUACCAACAGGAUUAGCUCUCACACACCCACCUGGGCACGCACGUGUUACACAAUUACUCCCCUUUCUGUUGCUAUCAUAGAACCCCUGAGACUGGGUAAUUGACAAAGAAAAGGGGUUUGUUUCCCACAGUUCUGGAGGUUGGGAAGUCCAAGAUAGGGUGGCUGCAUCUGGUCAGCUUCUGGGGAGGGCCUUGUGCUGUGUUGUAACAUGGCAGAAGGCAUCGUAGGUGAGUGGAAGAGAAAGCUGAGGCAGCCAAACUCACUUUUGUAAUGACCUGCUCUCAAUAACUAACCCACUCCUAUGAGAAUUAACCCACUCCUGUGACAAAGGCAUUAAUCCCUCCUAAUGACCUGAUCCCCUCUUCAAGGCCCCACCUCCCAAUACCAUUUCACUGGGAACCAAAUUUCUACAUGUGUUUUGGAGGAGAUGAACCACAUCCGAACCAUAGC